CAGUAGCCACGGGAACACGUAGGGUGCAAGCGUUAAUCGGAAUUACUGGGCGUAAAGCGUGCGCAGGCGGUUAUAUAAGACAGAUGUGAAAUCCCCGGGCUCAACCUGGGAACUGCAUUUGUGACUGUAUAGCUAGAGUACGGCAGAGGGGGAUGGAAUUCCGCGUGUAGCAGUGAAAUGCGUAGAUAUGCGGAGGAACACCGAUGGCGAAGGCAAUCCCCUGGGCCUGUACUGACGCUCAUGCACGAAAGCGUGGGGAGCAAACAGGAUUAGAUACCCCGGUAGUCCCUGUCUCUUAUAC
rnacentral:rRNA from 1 species